rnacentral:rRNA from 1 species
AUGGCCUCCUUUUCCUCCGCCUCUGUGCUCGCUCUGACGAUCAUGGCGGUGCUCGUCGCCGGUGCCCGGUGCAGCACCUCGGGCAAGGUUGGCUUCGCACUCACGAAGGGUUCCAGCCCCACCAAUCUCAUCGUGGCCGCCAAGUCCUUUGGCGGCACUACCGACGACUUCUCCAAGAUGCAGGUCAAGGGGCAGGGCUCGGACAAGUGGAUUGACAUGAGCAAUGCGGGGAGCUCCGGCAAGGGGAACUCCGUCUGGAAGGCCGUAUCCUCUACCGCACUCAAGGCCCCUCUCGCCAUCCGUUACCAGACAAAGCAGGGCACGACUGUUGUGAAUGACGACGCCAUCCAUUCAUUUUAG